GACGAACGCUGGCGGCAUGCCUAACACAUGCAAGUCGAGCGAAAACUUCGGGUCCUGUCGCGCCCGGGGGUGUAACGCGUGGGAAGCUGAACUUGUGUUCGGAAUAACUCUCAGACAGGGGUGCCAACACCAGAUAAUGUCUUAUGACGUAAGAUUUAUCGACCUUGUAGGGGCCCGAGUUGGAUUAGCUAGUUGGUAGGGUAAAAGCCUACCAAGGCGACGAUUCAUAGCUGGUUUGAGAGGAGGGUCAGCCACACUUGGACUGAGACACGGCCCAGACUCCUACGGGAGGCAGCAGUGGGGAAUAUUGGACAAUGGGCGGAAGCCUGAACCAGCACUGCCGCGUGAGUGAUGAAGGCCUUAGGGUUGUAAAGCUCUUUUACCCAGGAUGAUAAUGACAGUACCUGGAGAAUAAGCUCCGGCUAACUCCGUG
rnacentral:rRNA from 1 species